rnacentral:rRNA from 1 species
CCUGGCGGCCGUAGCGCGGUGGUCCCACCUGACCCCAUGCCGAACUCAGAAGUGAAACGCCGUAGCGCCGAUGGUAGUGUGGGGUCUCCCCAUGCGAGAGUAGGGAACUGCCAGCC